rnacentral:rRNA from 1 species
CAAGGAAUUUUGCGCAAUGGACGAAAGUCUGACGCAGCAACGCCGCGUGGGGGAUGAAGGCCCUCGGGUUGUAAACCCCUUUUGCGAGGGAAGAAGAUCUGACGGUACCUCGCGAAUAAGCCACGGCUAACUACGUGCCAGCAGCCGCGGUAAUACGUAGGUGGCAAGCGUUGUCCGGAUUUACUGGGCGUAAAGCGCGCGCAGGCGGACUGGUCAGUCUGGGGUGAAAGCUCACGGCUCAACCGUGAGUGGUCCCUGGAUACUGCCAGUCUUGAGAUGUCUAGAGGAGAGCGGAAUUCCCGGUGUAGUGGUGGAAUGCGUAGAUAUCGGGAAGAACACCAGUGGCGAAAGCGGCUCUCUGGGGACCAUCUGACGCUGAGGCGCGAAAGCGUGGGGAGCGAACCG